UAUCAUAUUUCAAAAUAUUUUUAGCCAAACAGUUAAGGAAUUUUUUCAAAUAACUUGGUCAGUUUUAAAAGAAAAAUGGAUCCCGAACGCAAUGUAAAGCGACUUCGAAAGCUUUUUGGAGUAUCACGAACGAUUCUAAAGCGAGCAGCACGCCGACCUAGUAUUAGUGACCAAGAAAGUGAAGAACAACAACGCAAACGCUUUCAAAUGCUCCGAGAAAUGCGGCAGCAAAGAAUAUCUAGCCUCGGUGCUAAUCAACGAUAUGUGCUGGAGAUUUGUGCAGACAUGAUAGGCCUAGAUACCGAAGAGGUAGUAACAGGCAUAGUGGAUGAGAAUCUUUAUGUCGACAAUCUGAAUGGACUAUUUGAUGCGAAGGGACCAAUGGCUGUAAUGCUUAGCAACGCUGCUAUGAUAGGCUAUCCUGUGGAUUCAGGCCGCUAUCAAGAUAAACUGAGACAUACAGAGGUACAUCGAACCAUUUGUUUGUGCGCUGGAACGGUCAGAUUGAUUGGUAAGUGGAUGGUAGUAUACCGGCAACAAAAUGACAAGGCAAUAGAAAAUCGCUCGGUAAGCGAUGAAGUGGCCAUGUUUAUGAUUAAUGCAGAAGGACCUGAUUCAUGUUUAAAUGUCGUCAAGACUUUUGUGGAACAAGUGCUUAAGCCAUCUAUUGAAGCAGUAACUGAUUUUGGCCUUGCGGAAAAGGAACAACUCCAAAAGUUUUUUCAUAUUCUGAAUAUGUACAAUACAUUCCUCAAAUCUUCGGAUGCAAUUGUAUCGUCUCGAGUGAAUUUUGACGUAUCUCAUGAUCUCUUUAAGGGGUUUUUGCUAGCUAGAUGGCAAAUAGAUGCUAGCUCGAAAAUUGUGAGCCGAGUAAGGUUAGUAGAACGAUAUUUUGAAAAAUGGCUGCGGCAGAUACAAGGAAUACUUGUGGAGGGAAAGCAGAUACAAAGGGACCCACCUGACGUUGGGCCAUUACACAUGUUAGUCAACUGGCGACAAAUGUUAGCUAAACUAACAUCAAUUACAGAAUUUGUUACAUCUCGUGCAUUUAAUAAUCAUAAAGAUUGCUUAACCUUAUCGCGUUCAUCGAAACUUCUUAAUCGCUGGGAUAAAAUCGAUAACCAGGUUACUUUAGCGCUCAACGAAGCAAAAGACAAUGUUCGUUUCAUUUCAUCAUUACAAAAGUUUUGGGAUCCGCUAUACCGUUCAUCACCAGAUGAAAUUAUAAGUAGCUUACCUGGGCUCAUGGUAGCGAUUCGUAAUGUGUGCAAAACAGCGCAUUACUUUAACACUUCCGUUAAUUUGACGGGACUCAUGGUUAAAAUCUCCAACCAGCUUACCAUUACGAGUAAAAAUUAUAUUACUGACAAUGAACAUCACAGCCUUUGGGAAAUAUCAUCAAAUGAAAUUAUUGAAAAAAUCGAAAAAUGUAGAGACGUUAUGGAUCACUUUAAAAAUAUAUAUAUAAACACCGUAGAGGAAAUGAAAAAUAGUAACGAAAGACCAUGGACUGUAUCUUCAGUUUACAUAUUUACAUGUUUAGAAAAGUUCUUGCAUCGCCUAGAAAAGAUAAAGUGUAUUGCAAAUACUGAAAUAAUAUAUUCAAUUUUGGAUCGCAUAUUAAUAAGUGGAAUGGAAAAGUUUAACACAAUGAUAAAAGCUGCUCGAAUUACUAUAAGUAGCAAAUUGUAUGACCCCUUAAAUUAUCGAAUUGAAACAUUUGAUACAGAUUUUGAAAAAUUUGUAAAGGAAGUUGAGGUUGCAGAAGUUGGGAUGCAGCAGUUUGUAAAAUUGUUAACAACCGAAUGUCCAACAGCCGAGUCAAUGAUGUUGGUGCUUAAACGUUUUGAAGCUUUGCAUUUAGAGUGUUUAUGUCUAGAUCGUCGUUAUUUUAAGGUUGCAGAAAUGUUAGAAAAGGAAAUGCUAUUACUCAAGGAUGUGUAUAAUGAGGAGCGAGGUAAUCCAUUCAUUCCACGAAAUUUGCCGCCAGUAGCUGGUCGCAUUGUCUGGAUUCGUUCGAUAUUUAAAAAAAUUGAUUUACCAAUGCAGGCGCUAAAGUUGCGACAUUGUGUGCUCGCACACAAAAAGGCACAACGUACAGUGCGCUAUUACAAUUACAUGAAUGGAAUUGUUUGUCAUUAUGAAAUGGCAUACCAUAAAGCCUGGUUUGAUUAUGUUGAAGAAGUGCGUUGUGCUCUUAAUGCACCUAUUUUAACAAUUAAUAAGGACGAGGCUCUAUAUGCUAUCAACUUAGAUCGUUCAAUUUUACAACUAAUAUCUGAGACCGAAUGGAUGUGGAAAUUACACUUAGAAGUUCCUAACAUGGCUUCGACUGUGGCUUAUUGUAAAGACCGAAUUUUUCAUCCAUUUAACACAUUAAAGCUAACAUUACAGCGAUUGGACCGGUUGCGGUCCUCGCUCACUCCAGUUUUUAUUAAUAUUAUGCGCUUUCGCUUACAAGAAAUAUCCGUAAUGCUAAAGCCUUCGCUAUCUUCGGUGACAUGGAUAUCAAAGAAUUUGGAAGAUUACGUAGAAAAGGUUUGUCUGAAAAUACAAGAGGUAGAAAUAUUUUUCGGUUUGAUUUUAGACAUAGAAGAACUCAGAAUUAUGCAAGAGAUCUAUAAUAUAUCUGAAUUCUUAUAUAUAUAUGUUCCUGAUGAGCCUGUUUCAUCGUAUCAAUUCGUUGAGGAGAGUAAUAAGUUGAGAGCUAAAAUUGAACGAGUUCUUGAGAAAAAGUCUAUAUGUAUGGAACGUGCUGUUAUCGAUAUUAUAAACAUGUUUAUCUUUUUGCUUGAUUUUGAGCAAUCAGAUUCAAAGGGGCGGCGCGUCUUCCAACUACCAGCGGAAAAAUUAAACGAUACUAAUUGGCGGACAGAGGGUUUUUUGCCAAUUGACAAAUGGGAUUUUAUUCAGUUUCAUAAAAUCUACCGAACAAUAUAUUUGGCCCCGGAUGAUGUACUAAAGAACUUACAAUUUCGGAAUUAUGAGAAUAUCAGAUAUGAACUUCAUCAUUUGCGUAAUGACUGUAUGGAUCUGUUUUCCUACUACAAUUCGAAAAUUAUUUUAGCCUUGGUGGCAGGCUCUAAACGGUCCUUGGAUUUUGUUCGCCAAAAUAUACUCAGGUAAGAGAUUUUGUAAAAUGU